rnacentral:tRNA from 1 species
GGGACGGUAGCUCAGCUGGUUAGAGCUCCGAGCUUAUACCUCGGCGGUCGAUGGUUCGAAUCCAUCCCGUCCCACCA